CAAAGAAUUUACAUCCUUAAAAUAAAAUAAAUCAAAACAAAUAUUUCGUGUAAUCAAAAUAUAAAUAAAAUUUGUAAAUGUAAAGCCAGCCAUCAAUCAAUCAAAUACAUACAUAUUUGUUUGAAAAUUUCUUAUUAAAAUUGCUGUUACGUAUGGAUUAGCUGUUUUCACUAAAUAUUCUAUAAGAAAUCCCAUGGACCUACCACACUAUUUUAACUCCUAUGAAGCCCAAGCAGCACACACAACAACAUGUGAAUGUGCACGAAAUGUGGGAGGAAGCAGAGUGUGGUGCAGUACAACACAUUGAAGGGGGGUCGACCCAUUAAACAGCAGUCAGCCAGACUCAGUCAGUCACCAAGCAAAUAAAUAAAUUUAUUUAUUUAAUUUUCCGGUUGGACUUGUCAACAUAAAGAAAUUUAUCAAACGAAAAAAAAAAGAAAUACAAACCAAACCACUGAAAAUAAAUACAAAAUUCUUGAUAAUUUAUUUAAAAAACAAAACGGGAAAAAGUUAAGAUUUAUAUACUGAAUUGAAUGGAAUUAAAACGCAAUUCUUGAUAUCAACUUGCUAAGUUUUGAAAUAUCUUAUGAACCCAAUAAAUUGGAAACAAAUGAAGAUUGUGAAAAACUUACAAAACCAUUAAACAAACAACAGUGCCUAGAAUUUUUAUUACAAAAACAAUCAACAUUUUAACAGAGAUAAACAAAAAUUGCUGAAAUAACCUAGAUUUUGAAAGAAAAAAUAAAAAAGAAAA